UUGUAUCCAUGGGAAAGGGUUUUAGAGGUUGGAGUUGGGUUUUAUUCCAGAAAAUUCGUGCAUCUAUUGGUUAUGCAAAACUGAGUUUUAAGCAAAGUUAAAUCUGUUCUUUUUUUGACGAAUUUUUCUCAUCGACAUGCUGACCAUGUUAUUUUCUGGUAUUUUUACUGUAGAUGCCUCUAUGUGUGUAGCUUAUGCUGUAAAAAGUUUAGAAUUUUCUGAGAAGUGUGGAAAAAGAUAAAAAUCGUAAACCGAGCUGCUGUCAGAUUCGCGUAUGGGCAGACAGCACAGACACGUUUUGAGAAAUUGGACAUAUCUCCUAGCUCGGGUAUCAGUUUUACGCACCGUUUCUUGAUUCUGAAACUAAACUUACAUACCUUUCUGAGUAUGUAAGGUUUGUGCCUUAGUUCCUUCUAGGAAAAAUCAGUUUUUGUUCUGAAGUUGGUGGUUUGGUAAUUCUGGAAAUCUGGGCAGCUUUGGAGCUAUGUUUUUCAUCAAUUUUAUCAUAGUUGAGUAUGUUGAUGACUAUGGGUUCUUAUGAGUCUUAAACAUUGAUCAAUUGGUGAUGUUUUGGCGCAAGAAUCAUUGAAAAAUAUUAAGUGUACGAUUUUUAGUGAUCUUUCGAUCACAGACAGUUCUGCUGAAUUUCGUAUUUGCUGUAUCGACACAUUUUGGAGGAAUAGGCAUAUCUCUUAGCACGUGUAUCGGAUUUGUGAACCAGUUUUUGAUUUGGAAACUAGACUCUUAUACCUUUCAGAACAUGUAGGGUUUGUACCUUCAAAUUUCGUAGGUAAACUCAGCUUUUGGGUCGAAGUUGGUUGAUCUGCAGAAACUGCAGAUUUGUGUUUCUAAUUGUGCAUCUUCGGUCGGUCAUAACUUUGUCAUUUGAAAUCUAUUUGGGACAAAUUUUAUAUCGAAAUUGAUGUACUCAGAACGUACUUUCCAUUGGUGGUGGUCUCAUGACCUAAUUCUAAGCCAAUUAAAAGUUACAGCCAGGAUAAGGCAGGCUGAUCAUAAGUUUAUAAACUGAUUUCAAGGAUUAUCUCAUAUUUGAACUUUAUGCUUGUUUUGGGACACUUCUAGGUGUUAACUUGGACAUAUUAGUAUUUGUUGGUCAUUGUUUAGCUUCUUGUUAGCUUUAUAACUUUGUGCCGAGUGGUUGUUGAGUUCGUGACUAAUAUGAGUUAACUUGUAGCUAGGUAAAGAGCCGGUCAUUCGGGUGGUGCCAAAACCUUAAUUUGGCAUACUUCGGUCGACACAAAGGUCAUAGGUGGUCGUAGAGUUGGUCCACUACCGGUCGACGUUUUGGAGACACCUGGAUUAGUAUCGAGUGUUGGUGUUUGUUGUCGAGUUGGUUGUAAAGGGUCAAGCUUUGAUUUUUGCUAAAACUCAUUUUGUGAC